rnacentral:rRNA from 1 species
AGGUCAGGACACGGUAAGGAUUGACGGACUGAAGGCUCUUUCUCGAUUCCGUGGAAAGUGGUGCAUGGCCGUUUUUGGUUGGUGGAUCGAUCCGUCUGGUUAAUUCCGUUAACGAACGAGACCUCGGCACUCCGAAUAGCGCGGCGGACGUCGCGGCCUCCGGGCCGUCUUCCGCACGAGCUUCUUAGAGGGACCGUCCCCCGCCGGGGAAGGAGGUGCGAGGCAACGACAGGUCUGUGAUGCCCUUAGAUGUUCUGGGCCGCACGCGCAUUACACUGACGCGUCCAACGGGUGACUCCCGACCCGAAGGGGCCGGGGAAUCCGCAAGGCGCGUCGUGAUGGGGAUUGAACGUUGCAAUUGUUGUUCACGAACGAGGAAUUCCUAGUAGGCGCGGGUCAUCAACCCGCGCCGAUUACGUCCCUGCCC